CACAUAGUUAGCCGGUGCUUCUUCUGCAGGUACCGUCACUUGCGCUUCGUCCCUGCUGAAAGAGGUUUACAACCCGAAGGCCGUCAUCCCUCACGCGGCGUCGCUGCAUCAGGCUUCCGCCCAUUGUGCAAUAUUCCCCACUGCUGCCUCCCGUAGGAGUCUGGGCCGUAUCUCAGUCCCAAUGUGGCCGAUCACCCUCUCAGGCCGGCUACCCGUCGUCGCCUUGGUAGGCCAUCACCCCACCAACAAGCUGAUAGGCCGCGGGCUCAUCCUACACCGAAAAACUUUCCACCAAACCCCAUAAGGAGAAAAGGUCAUAUCCAGUAUUAGACCCAGUUUCCCAGGCUUAUCCCAGAGUGCAGGGCAGAUUACCACGUGUUACUCACCCGUUCGCCACUCGAGUACUCCAGCAAGCUGGAGCCUUUCGUCGACUUGCAUGUGUUAAGCACGCCGCCAGCGUCUCCUGAGCAGGAUCGAAACUACU
rnacentral:rRNA from 1 species